GACGAACGCUGGCGGCGUGCUUAACACAUGCAAGUCGAACGGUAAGGCCCUUCGGGGUACACGAGUGGCGAACGGGUGAGUAACACGUGGGUGAUCUGCCCUGCACUUCGGGAUAAGCCUGGGAAACUGGGUCUAAUACCGGAUAGGACCACUGCCUGCAUGGGUGGUGGUGGAAAGCUUUUGCGGUGUGGGAUGGGCCCGCGGCCUAUCAGCUUGUUGGUGGGGUGAUGGCCUACCAAGGCGACGACGGGUAGCCGGCCUGAGAGGGUGACCGGCCACACUGGGACUGAGAUACGGCCCAGACUCCUACGGGAGGCAGCAGUGGGGAAUAUUGCACAAUGAGCGCAAGCCUGAUGCAGCGACGCCGCGUGAGGGAUGACGGCCUUCGGGUUGUAAACCUCUUUCAGCACCGACGAAGCGCAAGUGACGGUAGGUGCAGAAGAAGCACCGGCUAACUACGUGCCAGCAGCCGCAGUAA
rnacentral:rRNA from 1 species